ACGGAGGGUGCGAGCGUUAAUCGGAAUUACUGGGCGUAAAGGGUGCGUAGGUUGUUUGAUAAGUUAUCUGUAAAAUCCCCGGGCUUAACCUGGGCAGGUCAGAUAAGACUGUUGGACUUGAGUACAGGAGAGGGCAGUGGAAUUUCCGGUGUAGCGGUGAAAUGCGUAGAGAUCGGAAGGAACACCAGUGGCGAAGGCGGCUGCCUGGCCUGAUACUGACACUGAGGCACGAAAGCGUGGGGAGCAAACAG
rnacentral:rRNA from 1 species